GCCAGUGUGGUGUUGUGGUCUGAGCACUGGACUACACUCUGGAGACCAGGGUUCAAAUCCCUGCUUGGUCA